rnacentral:rRNA from 1 species
AUUGAACGCUGGCGGCAUGCCUUACACAUGCAAGUCGAACGGCAGCACGGGUGCUUGCACCUGGUGGCGAGUGGCGAACGGGUGAGUAAUACAUCGGAACGUACCUUAUCGUGGGGGAUAACGCAGCGAAAGCUGUGCUAAUACCGCAUACGCCCUGAGGGGGAAAGCGGGGGAUCGCAAGACCCCGCGCGAUUAGAGCGGCCGAUGCCUGAUUGGCUAGUUGGUGGGGGAAAAGCCCACCAAGGCGACGAUCAGUAGCUGGUCGGAGAGGACGAUCAGCCACACUGGGACUGAGACACGGCCCAGCCCCCUACGUGAGGCAGCAGUGGGGAAUUUUGGACAAUGUGGGUAACCCUGAUCCAGCAAUGCCGCGUGAGUGAAGAAGGCCUUCGGGGUGUAAAGCUCUUUUGCCAGGGAAGAAACACCGGCUCUAACACAGUCCGGGAAUGACGGUACCUGAAGAAUAAGCACCGGCUAACUACGUGCCAGCCGCCGCCGUAA